UACAGAGGUCUCAAGCGUUGUUCGGAUUCAUUGGGCGUAAAGGGUGCGUAGGCGGCGCGGUAAGUCGGGUGUGAAAUCUCGGAGCUUAACUCCGAAACUGCAUUCGAUACUGCCGUGCUUGAGGACUGGAGAGGAGACUGGAAUUUACGGUGUAGCGGUGAAAUGCGUAGAUAUCGUAAGGAAGACCGAGUGGCGAAGGCGGGUCUCUGGACAGUUCCUGACGCUGAGGCACGAAGGCCAGGGGAGCAAACGGG
rnacentral:rRNA from 1 species